rnacentral:sRNA from 1 species
UGACCUUUCUUAAGCCGAAGGUCACCUAGCCAACUGACGUUGUUAGUGAAUACAAUUUGUUCACAUAUUUAUAAGCCAAUCGUACUUUACGAUUGGCUAUUUUUUU